GACGAACGCUGGCGGCGUGCCUAACACAUGCAAGUCGAGCGAGUGAAUCUCCUUCGGGAGUGAAGCUAGCGGCGGACGGGUGAGUAACACGUGGGCAACCUGCCUCAUAGAGGGGAAUAGCCUUCCGAAAGGGAGAUUAAUACCGCAUAAGAUUGUAGCUUCGCAUGAAGUAGCAAUUAAAGGAGUAAUCCGCUAUGAGAUGGACCCGCGGCGCAUUAGCUAGUUGGUGAGGUAACGGCUCACCAAGGCGACGAUGCGUAGCCGACCUGAGAGGGUGAUCGGCCACAUUGGGACUGAGACACGGCCCAGACUCCUACGGGAGGCAGCAGUGGGGAAUAUUGCACAAUGGGGGAAACCCUGAUGCAGCAACGCCGCGUGAGUGAUGACGGUCUUCGGAUUGUAAAGCUCUGUCUUUGGGGACGAUAAUGACGGUACCCAAGGAGGAAGCCACGGCUAACUACGUGCCAGCAGCCGCUGUAACAC
rnacentral:rRNA from 1 species